AUUCAGGAUCUGGCUAUUUGAGAUCUUGAUGAAAGGUCUCCAAGCAAGAGAGGCUCGAGGAGCAUGGAUGAUGAGACCUAUCAUUUUGCCAGGAUAGCUUGUGAGGAUCUGCUUUGUAUUGGGUAGGGACUGAGCCAGAGGGCCCAGAAAUGUAGGCUCUUGAGAGAGCGAAGCCUCUACCUUCUUGCCCUAGUGACAGUGAUUCAGACGGAUGUGAAGGGUCUGUGCUAGCUUCAUCCAUACGCUGACGGGUAAGUGCUUCUGUUGGGGAGGUUUUUUCAUUGCUCUAAUCUUGCCUGAAUUGGUUUAAUCUGCUCAGCAGCUUGAGAAACCCACUACAGCGUUUUGCUCUGUAGGUGGCACUGCCCACUUGCACUUUGAAGAGAGGUAAAGGUGCAAUUAAGCUUAACUGCUAGGGUGAGGUCUGAAGAGUUGCAAUGCUCUCUCUCUCUUUCUUCCUCCUCUCUUUUUGCUCUUUCUGUGGCCUAGGGAUUGUGGGGUUUUUUACACUCCUAGGAACACGCUAAAAUGGAGGCCCUGGAUAUGCUUCCCUGCACCUCCCAUCACAGCAAUUGGCCUAAUAAUUGAAGUCGGCUGUGGUUGGGUGUUGUGUAACAGUCCUGGUUUUCUCAAGUGAACUGCAGAGGUUUCAGCUGGAGCUUAAAGAGCAAAAUGCACUAUGAAAAGGAAGCAUGUGGCUGGCUGAAGCCUGCAACGCUGUGCACCAAGCCGCGCUCUGCAUUUCUGCAGACAUCUGCACGCAGAAAAUAGGAUGAACCGUUCCCCAGAUGCGAGAACCUGGCCUGCUUGCAAGUAUUUAGCAUCUAACCAGAUGAAGACUUGAAGCAAUUGGAAGCCUCCUCUGGCAUGAAUUGCUUUAGGAGCCUCAUGCUUGCUUGCUGCUUGCCUGCCAGGCGCUGUGGAUAGAACGAGUUAGCUCAUCGGCGGAGGCCAUCUGUCUUCCUGGGGCCUGAGGCUGCCUGCCUCCCGCCAUGUGGCGUUCUGCUUCUCAUCUCCCCGGGGCUGCUUUCAAGCCAUGUCCGGACUGAAUGGGAUUGCGUCUGUACCUGUUCCCCUGGUGUAAGCCAACUGCACGAGGCAAGAGGAGAUGGAGAGUUUGGGACGUGAGGUUUGCGCUGCGGCAGGUGAAUGGGGGCACGAGACGGAGCAGACCCCAUCUGUGGAGCCGAUCAAGGAGUAGCACCAGGCAAAGCUGCAUCGAGCUGAGAAAACCAAGAUCAUGGCGGAGUAUCCCGCCAGCAGUUAAACCCCAGAGAAGAAAGCUGGGAGCAGGAUGUGACCAGGGGGUGAACCGGGCUUCAGCCAAGAGGCUGGCUGCGCCCUGGCAGCGUGGCACAGACGGGUCCAAGAACCAGUCCCCUGCCAGCGUCCGCGUUCAAGCCCGAACCCCGCGUGGAAGAGCCCGCAGCUUUCCAGAUCAAUUCCUGCCGGUUUCCAAAGAACACGCUGGAUGCCGGCGAGGGAGGAGACAGCUGACAAGGACCUGGCAGGCCUCAGACGCCUGCAGAAUAAACACGGCGUUCUUUCCCCGUGGGAUCUAGCUGGGCUGCGGCUUACAUGCAAACAGAGAGGUAAUGGCCCCAGGCAGCUCUAAUCCCCAGAGGAUUACCCCAGGGACUUGGCAGCGGAGUCAUUCAGCAGGGAGCACGCAUCUCCCCGGCUUGACUCCUGCAGAGCGCCGAGGCUGCGGGAGGAGCGGGCAGGACCGUCUCGGACAGACCUGGACAACGUGUCAGGGAUGCUGCUGGUUGUCGGCCCCCGGACCGAACACCGCUGAGCCUCCAUCGCUGAGCACGGCCGGUGCCACCGGGUCUCCAGUGACGGUGUGAUGGAGGGGGAAGUCCAGGUGUUAACGAGGCUCUCUUCUUUGCACUGAUCCGGAUGUUCCUCCAAGCAAGCUGCCCUUUGUUCUGCUGUCUGGGAAAGCUCUUAUUUCACAGCCCUGCAGAUUGUUUUUAACUCCUUCCAAUGAAAUUAUAUUUGUUUUUCUUCAGUCUUAAACUGAAUAACACAGCCCCAGGGCCCUGGCCUAUUAAUAAAGCUUCCAGUUUCUUCUUCA